rnacentral:rRNA from 1 species
AUCUGGAAAGAUGAAUCAAAGAAGGUAAUAAUCCUGUAGUCGAAAAUGUUGUCUCUCUUGAGUGGAUCCUGAGUACGACGGAGCACGUGAAAUUCCGUCGGAAUCUGGGAGGACCAUCUCCUAAGGCUAAAUACUCUCUAGUGACCGAUAGUGAACCAGUACCGUGAGGGAAAGGUGAAAAGCACCCCGGAAGGGGAGUGAAAUAGAACCUGAAACCGUGUGCUUACAAGUAGUCAGAGCCCGUUAAUGGGUGAUGGCGUGCCUUUUGUAGAAUGAACCGGCGAGUUACGAUUUGAUGCAAGGUUAAGCAGUAAAUGUGGAGCCGUAGCGAAAGCGAGUCUGAAUAGGGCGUUUAGUAUUUGGUCGUAGACCCGAAACCAGGUGAUCUACCCUUGGUCAGGUUGAAGUUCAGGUAACACUGAAUGGAGGACCGAACCGACUUACGUUGAAAAGUGAGCGGAUGAACUGAGGGUAGCGGAGAAAUUCCAAUCGAACCUGGAGAUAGCUGGUUCUCUCCGAAAUAGCUUUAGGGCUAGCCUCAAGUGAUGAUUAUUGGAGGUAGAGCACUGUUUGGACGAGGGGCCCCUCUCGGGUUACCGAAUUCAGACAAACUCCGAAUGCCAAUUAAUUUAACUUGGGAGUCAGAACAUGGGUGAUAAGGUCCGUGUUCGAAAGGGAAACAGCCCAGACCACCAGCUAAGGUCCCAAAAUAUAUGUUAAGUGGAAAAGGAUGUGGCGUUGCCCAGACAACUAGGAUGUUGGCUUAGAAGCAGCCAUCAUUUAAAGAGUGCGUAAUAGCUCACUAGUCGAGUGACACUGCGCCGAAAAUGUACCGGGGCUAAACAUAUUACCGAAGCUGUGGAUUGUCCUUUGGACAAUGGUAGGAGAGCGUUCUAAGGGCGUUGAAGCAUGAUCGUAAGGACAUGUGGAGCGCUUAGAAGUGAGAAUGCCGGUGUGAGUAGCGAAAGACGGGUGAGAAUCCCGUCCACCGAUUGACUAAGGUUUCCAGAGGAAGGCUCGUCCGCUCUGGGUUAGUCGGGUCCUAAGCUGAGGCCGACAGGCGUAGGCGAUGGAUAACAGGUUGAUAUUCCUGUACCACCUAUAAUCGUUUUAAUCGAUGGGGGGACGCAGUAGGAUAGGCGAAGCGUGCGAUUGGAUUGCACGUCUAAGCAGUAAGGCUGAGUAUUAGGCAAAUCCGGUACUCGUUAAGGCUGAGCUGUGAUGGGGAGAAGACAUUGAGUCUUCGAGUCGUUGAUUUCACACUGCCGAGAAAAGCCUCUAGAUAGAAAAUAGGUGCCCGUACCGCAAACCGACACAGGUAGUCAAGAUGAGAAUUCUAAGGUGAGCGAGCGAACUCUCGUUAAGGAACUCGGCAAAAUGACCCCGUAACUUCGGGAGAAGGGGUGCUCUUUAGGGUUAACGCCCAGAAGAGCCGCAGUGAAUAGGCCCAAGCGACUGUUUAUCAAAAACACAGGUCUCUGCUAAACCGUAAGGUGAUGUAUAGGGGCUGACGCCUGCCCGGUGCUGGAAGGUUAAGAGGAGUGGUUAGCUUCUGCGAAGCUACGAAUCGAAGCCCCAGUAAACGGCGGCCGUAACUAUAACGGUCCUAAGGUAGCGAAAUUCCUUGUCGGGUAAGUUCCGACCCGCACGAAAGGCGUAACGAUUUGGGCACUGUCUCAACGAGAGACUCGGUGAAAUCAUAGUACCUGUGAAGAUGCAGGUUACCCGCGACAGGACGGAAAGACCCCGUGGAGCUUUACUGUAGCCUGAUAUUGAAAUUCGGCACAGCUUGUACAGGAUAGGUAGGAGCCUUUGAAACGUGAGCGCUAGCUUACGUGGAGGCGCUGGUGGGAUACUACCCUAGCUGUGUUGGCUUUCUAACCCGCACCACUUAUCGUGGUGGGAGACAGUGUCAAGCGGGCAGUUUGACUGGGGCGGUCGCCUCCUAAAAGGUAACGGAGGCGCUCAAAGGUUCCCUCAGAAUGGUUGGAAAUCAUUCAUAGAGUGUAAAGGCAUAAGGGAGCUUGACUGCGAGACCUACAAGUCGAGCAGGGUCGAAAGACGGACUUAGUGAUCCGGUGGUUCCGCAUGGAAGGGCCAUCGCUCAACGGAUAAAAGCUACCCCGGGGAUAACAGGCUUAUCUCCCCCAAGAGUUCACAUCGACGGGGAGGUUUGGCACCUCGAUGUCGGCUCAUCGCAUCCUGGGGCUGUAGUCGGUCCCAAGGGUUGGGCUGUUCGCCCAUUAAAGCGGUACGCGAGCUGGGUUCAGAACGUCGUGAGACAGUUCGGUCCCUAUCCGUCGUGGGCAUAGGAAAUUUGAGAGGAGCUGUCCUUAGUACGAGAGGACCGGGAUGGACAUACCUCUGGUGUACCAGUUGUCGUGCCAACGGCAUAGCUGGGUAGCUAUGUGUGGACGGGAUAAGUGCUGAAAGCAUCUAAGCAUGAAGCCCCCCUCAAGAUGAGAUUUCCCAACUUCGGUUAUAAGAUCCCUCAAAGAUGAUGAGGUUAAUAGGUUCGAGGUGGAAGCAUGGUGACAUGUGGAGCUGACGAAUACUAAUCGAUCGAAGACUUAAUCAA